AACGCUGGCGGCGUGCUUAACACAUGCAAGUCGAACGAUGAUGCCCAGCUUGCUGGGUGGAUUAGUGGCGAACGGGUGAGUAACACGUGAGUAACCUGCCCCUGACUCUGGGAUAAGCGUUGGAAACGACGUCUAAUACUGGAUAUGACUGCCGGCCGCAUGGUCUGGUGGUGGAAAGAUUUUUUGGUUGGGGAUGGACUCGCGGCCUAUCAGCUUGUUGGUGAGGUAAUGGCUCACCAAGGCGACGACGGGUAGCCGGCCUGAGAGGGUGACCGGCCACACUGGGACUGAGACACGGCCCAGACUCCUACGGGAGGCAGCAGUGGGGAAUAUUGCACAAUGGGCGAAAGCCUGAUGCAGCAACGCCGCGUGAGGGAUGACGGCCUUCGGGUUGUAAACCUCUUUUAGUAGGGAAGAAGCGAAAGUGACGGUACCUGCAGAAAAAGCACCGGCUAACUACGUGCC
rnacentral:rRNA from 1 species